rnacentral:rRNA from 1 species
UCCGGUGAAAAUAACGCGGAGGCCACACCUGUUCCCAUCCCGAACACAGAAGUUAAGCUCCGUAGUGCCGAUGAUACUUGGCUGGUGACGGCCCGGAAAAGUAGGUCUUCGCCGGAU